CCUACGGGAGGCAGCAGUGGGGAAUAUUGCGCAAUGGGCGAAAGCCUGACGCAGCGACGCCGCGUGAGGGAUGAAGGUCUUCGGAUCGUAAACCUCUGUCAGCAGGGAAGAACGGUCACUGUGCUAAUCAGCAGUGAAUUGACGGUACCUGCAAAGGAAGCACCGGCUAACUCCGUGCCAGCAGCCGCGGUAAUACGGAGGGUGCGAGCGUUAAUCGGAAUUACUGGGCGUAAAGCGCUCGUAGGCGGUAUGUCAAGUCAAGGGUGAAAUCCCCGCGCUCAACGUGGGAACUGCCUUGGAAACUGGCAAACUGGAGUGUGUGAGAGGAUAGUGGAAUUCCAGGUGUAGGGGUGAAAGCCGUAGAUAUCUGGAGGAACAUCAGUGGCGAAGGCGACUAUCUGGCACAUAACUGACGCUGAGGAGCGAAAGCGUGGGUAGCAAACAGGAUUAGAUACCCGAGUAGUC
rnacentral:rRNA from 1 species